UUAGAGAUAGUGCUAAUCUUGAUGCAAGAUAGCUACACGAUUUGCAUGGAACAUACUAUAUGCUCAAAAAUGAAUUUGGAUGCAGCAGAUGGAACUCGUAGAUGACAUGUGUCUUAUGGAAUCUCACUUCGGUCCGUUUAGAGAUAGUGUUAGUUUCGGUGCAAGAUAGGUGCACGGUUUACACCUAAUGAACCAUAAGAUAAGAAACCAUUUUGGACGCACCCGAUAGUACUCCUCGGUCAAGGGGC
rnacentral:lncRNA from 1 species